rnacentral:rRNA from 1 species
GACGAACGCUGGCGGCGUGCCUAACACAUGCAAGUCGAACGAAAACGCCCUGCCUUUGUGGGGUGCUCGAGUGGCGACCGGGGAAGUUACACGUGAGUACCCUACCCCUGCCUGUGGGAUAACUUCAGGCAGCUUGGGCUAUUACCGGAUAGGAGCUCCUGCUUCAUGGUGGGGGUGGGAAAGUUUCGGCGGUUGGUAAUGGACUGGCGGCUUAUCAGCUUGUUGGUGGGGUAGUGUCUUAGCAAGACUUUGACAGGUAGCAGGGCUGAGAGGAUCACCGGCCACGUUGGACCGGGGAUACGACCCAGACUCGAAUGGGACGCAGCGGUGGAGAAGAUUGCAUAAUGGGCGGAAGCCAGAUGCAGCAAAGCCGCGUGCGGGAUGACGGCCUUCGGGUUGGAAACCAAUUUCGUCUGUGGCGAGACGAGAGUGACGGUACUGGGUGAAGAAGCACCGGCUAACUACGUG